rnacentral:rRNA from 1 species
CCUACGGGGCGCAGCAGUGAGGAAUAUUGGUCAAUGGCCGAGAGGCUGAACCAGCCAAGUCGCGUGAGGGAAGACGGCCCUACGGGUUGUAAACCUCUUUUGUCGGGGAGCAAAGAGAGUCACGUGUGACUCAUUGAGAGUACCCGACGAAAAAGCAUCGGCUAACUCCGUGCCAGCAGCCGCGGUAAUACGGAGGAUGCGAGCGUUAUCCGGAUUUAUUGGGUUUAAAGGGUGCGCCGGCGGCGGUGCAAGUCAGCGGUCAAAUUGCGGGGCUCAACCCCGGACUGCCGUUGAAACUGCAGCCCUUGAGUGCGCGAGAAGUAUGCGGAAUGCGUGGUGGAGCGGUGAAAUGCAUAGAUAUCACGCAGAACUCCGAUUGCGAAGGCAGCAUACCGGCGCGCAACUGACGCUCAUGCACGAAAGCGUGGGUAUCGAACAGGAUUAGAUACCCUGGUAGUC